AAACGUGUCACCAGCCCGGCUGUGGGAGCUCCGCGGCCGAAGCGUUUGUUGACUCGCGCUGGAGAGGAACCGAGGCUGGACGGGACCCCAUCUAAGGGCAGAGCUGGGGGAGGAGGGAGGGAGGGAAGGAGGGAGAGCUGGGCAGAGCGCGACGGGGAGAACCAUCCAGGUCGCUCAUUUCUCUCCGGUGAGAAAACUUCCUUGGGAAGACCGGAAACUUCUUCCUAGGCGCGCGGAGUCUGGGGCGGAGGCGAGCGGCGGGUGUGCGCGACUCGGGGUGAUUCACGCCGGAGACCCCAACGAGAAGAGGCAAUUUGGACAUAAAGAGAAACAUCAAGGGCAUGAGUGCACAGAGGAAAGAGCAUGUGAGGGCAUGGCUGCAAGGCAGCCAUCUGUAAACCAAGGAGAGAGACCCCAAAGGAAAUCAACCCUGUGGACACCUUGAUCGUGGACUUCUAGCCUCCAGAACUGAAAAAAGAAAAAAGGAAUCUCCUGGCAGGCUCAACAGUGAGCCAGGCGUGAGGCUGGGAGACUUCCGGCCGGGGCUGAAUCC
rnacentral:sRNA from 1 species